AGUGAACGCUGGCGGUAGGCCUAACACAUGCCAGUCGAACGGCAGCACAGUAAGAGCUUGCUCUUACGGGUGGCGAGUGGCGGACGGGUGAGGAAUACAUCGGAAUCUACUUUUUCGUGGGGGAUAAUGUAGGGAAACUUACGCUAAUACCGCAUACGACCUACGGGUGAAAGCAGGGGAUCUUCGGACCUUUCGCGAUUGAAUGAGCCGAUGUCGGAUUAGCUAGUUGGCGGGGUAAAGGCCCACCAAGGCGACGAUCCGUAGCUGGUCUGAGAGGAUGAUCAGCCACACUGGAACUGAGACACGGUCCAGACUCCUACGGGAGGCGGCAGUGGGGAAUAUUGGACAAUGGGCGCAAGCCUGAUCCAGCCAUACCGCGUGGGUGAAGAAGGCCUUCGGGUUGUAAAGCCCUUUUGUUGGGAAAGAAAAGCAGCAGGUUAAUACCCCGCUGUUCUGACGGUACCCAAAGAAUAAGCACCGGCUAACUUCGUG
rnacentral:rRNA from 1 species